CCUACGGGAGGCAGCAGUGGGGAAUAUUGGACAAUGGGGGCAACCCUGAUCCAGCCAUGCCGCGUGUGUGAAGAAGGCCCUCGGGUUGUAAAGCACUUUCAGUGAGGAAGAACGCCUGGUGGUUAAUACCCAUCAGGAAAGACAUCACUCACAGAAGAAGCACCGGCUAACUCCGUGCCAGCAGCCGCGGUAAUACGGAGGGUGCGAGCGUUAAUCGGAAUUACUGGGCGUAAAGCGCGCGUAGGUGGCUUGAUAAGCCGGUUGUGAAAGCCCCGGGCUCAACCUGGGAACGGCAUCCGGACCUGUCAAGCUAGAGUGCAGGAGAGGAAGGUAGAAUUCCCGGUGUAGCGGUGAAAUGCGUAGAGCUCGGGAGGAAUACCAGUGGCGAAGGCGGCCUUCUGGACUGACACUGACACUGAGGUGCGAAAGCGUGGGUAGCAAACAGGAUUAGAUACCCCUGUAGUC
rnacentral:rRNA from 1 species